rnacentral:rRNA from 1 species
UACGUAGGGUGCGAGCGUUAAUCGGAAUUACUGGGCGUAAAGCGUGCGCAGGCGGUUUUGUAAGCCAGAUGUGAAAUCCCCGGGCUUAACCUGGGAAUGGCCAUGGAAACUGGCGAACUGGAGUGCGGCAGAGGGGGGUGGAAUUCCACGUGUAGCGGUGAAAUGCGUAGAUAUGUGGAGGAAUACCGAUGGCGAAGGCAGCCUCCUGGGCCAACACUGACGCUCAUGCACGAAAGCGUGGGGAGCAAACAGG